UACGGAGGAUGCAAGCGUUAUCCGGAUUGAUUGGGCGUAAAGCGUCUGUAGGUGGUUGGGUAAGUCGGAUGUGAAAGCCCUGGGCUUAACCUGGGAAUGCCAUUCGAUACUGCCCGACUCGAGUUCGGUAGAGGGCGGUGGAACUCCAGGUGUAGCGGUGAAAUGCGUAGAUAUCUGGAAGAACACCAAUGGCGAAGGCAACCGCCUGGGCCUGAACUGACGCUGAGGCACGAAAGCGUGGGGAGCAAACAGG
rnacentral:rRNA from 1 species